rnacentral:lncRNA from 1 species
GAAAAGAAAAAUGAGGAAAUUAGGGUUUACACCCUUUAUAUACCUCUCAAAUCCGGGUCGACCCGCCAGGCUUAACCCAUGACCCGCUCCGUCUCUAUCUAGGCCCAAACCUGUUUUUUACUUUCUGCACACCCCAUAAUACUGCUACACCUCCUACCUUGUGAUUGAACCUUUUAUUUAUUUCUUUCAAGUCUUGCAUACAUUUUAUUUAUCGUUUAGCAUUGUAAUUAUUAAUUUAUGUUCUCUCAUGCAUGUUAGAAUGUAAAUUAGGCCUUGAUGUAAAUAAUUUAUUUACUUUUUCUUGUCAUUUAUUUUUUUGCAGACCUUAGAAUGUAAAUAGGUUUUUUUGUAAUAGUUUAGGUGCAUGUGUGCGUGUGUGGGUGUAUGCUCUACUUUUCUGCUUAGGUUAUUACGUUUUAUUUUCUUGCUCCGUUAGUUUAGCAAUUAUUCAAAAAAUAACAAAAACAUGCAAAUAACCAAAAAAUCAUAAAAAUACUUUUUUUAUAAUAAACCUUGAUCCUAAAUCAAGUGAUCGUCCUUUUUAUUUUAUUUUCUUAAUCAAAUAUCAAUCAAUUUAACUAUACUUUGAGUCUAUUUUCAUUUAAAUUAAAAAACACAAAUCCAUUCCUAUUUUGCCACUUGGCUUUUAUUUUUAAAACCUUUUUCAAAACUAAUAAAAAACACAAAACCAAUCAAACGUCAAUUUCUACCCCGAACUACGAGGUUUUGAUCCUUCACGGGUACGUAGGCAGAGGACCAUGUCCUUUCAAACAAUAAAAAAUGUAGAUAAAUUAGGUCUCACCUUAUUUUCUUUUUCAUCACAUUAAUUCCUUCUUUUCAAAAGCAAGCAAGUUAUAGCACAUUGAAUUAAAUAAAACCAAGAGGUUCCCGUAGAGUACUACGGACAUAAAGGGUGCUAACACCUUCCUUUUAUGUAACUAACCCCCGAACCCAAAAUCUUUUCAAAAUGGGGUAGUUUGAACUUUUUUCCCCUUUUCUUAAUAAAAUUAAAUGUUCAGUCGUGAAAUAAAUUAGCGAGUCAAAAGCUAAUCAAAUAGCCUUGAUCUCCAAAAAAUGACGCGACAAUUCUGAAAAGAUCAGAACCUGUUCAUCAGAAUCUGAUUAAACCAGAAUCUAAAAUCCCAAAACAAAAGGAUCAGAAGAACAAAGCAGCUACUGCUUCUGAGAAAACAAUACCAAAAGGUGUCAAACCUAAAGUAUUGAAUGAUCAGAAGCCACUCAGCAUUCACCCUAAGGUACAAGGGAGGAAAAGUAAAACCUCCAAAACUAACCCAAAAGGACCCAUGAAGAUAUGGGUACCUAAAUCUGAAUUGGCCAAAAAUGCAGGUGUGCUUAAGGGCAAGAGAGAAACAAAGGUCAUGGUACCUAGACAGCGGAUGUUCAAGGCACAUGACUGGAGAGAAAGCUUUGUUCCUUACCCUUACAAUGAAAGAUGGAGGAGAAGUGAAGUUUGGUGGCAACCAAACUGGAAAGAUCAUUGGUACAGGUACUAUUGGUAAUUCCUCCAUCUCAAUUAAUAAUGUGUGGCUAGUAGAUGGUCUGAAGCAUAACCUAUUGAGCAUUAGUCAAUUUUGUGACAAUGGGUAUGAUGUAACGUUCAGUAAGACCAACUGCACACUAGUCAACAAGGAUGACAAAUCCAUUACAUUCAAGGGAAAGAGAGUUGAGAAUGUCUAUAAAAUAAAUUUCUCUGAUCUGGCUGAUCAGAAGGUAGUUUGCCUUCUGUCAAUGAAUGAUAAAAAAUGGGUAUGGCAUAAAAGGUUGGGACAUGCUAAUUGGAGAUUAAUUUCUAAAAUUAGCAAGUUACAACUGGUCAAAGGAUUGCCUAACAUUGAUUAUCAUUCAGAUGCACUUUGUGGUGCAUGUCAGAAAGGGAAAAUUGUGAAAAGUUCUUUCAAAUCUAAAGACAUUGUAUCAACCUCCAGACCCUUAGAAUUACUCCAUAUUGAUCUUUUUGGUCCAGUUAACACUGCAUCUUUAUAUGGAAGUAAAUAUGGAUUAGUCAUUGUUGAUGAUUACAGCAGAUGGACUUGGGUAAAAUUCAUUAAAAGUAAAGACUAUGCAUGUGAAGUGUUUAGCAGCUUCUGCACUCAAAUACAAUCUGAAAAAGAAUUGAAUAUUUUGAAAGUCAGAAGUGAUCAUGGUGGAGAAUUUGAAAAUGAGCCAUUUGAACUUUUUUGUGAAAAACAUGGGAUUCUCCAUGAGUUUUCCUCUCCUAGAACUCCACAACAAAAUGGGGUUGUAGAGAGAAAGAACAGAACAUUACAAGAAAUGGCCAGAACCAUGAUCCAUGAAAACAACUUAGCUAAACAUUUUUGGGCAGAAGCAGUCAAUACUUCAUGUUAUAUUCAAAAUAGGAUCUAUAUCAGACCUAUGUUGGAGAAAACAGCAUAUGAACUCUUUAAAGGAAGAAGACCCAAUAUCUCUUACUUUCAUCAGUUUGGAUGUACUUGUUACAUCUUAAACACUAAAGACUAUCUGAAGAAAUUUGAUGCCAAGGCUCAAAGAGGAAUCUUUUUAGGUUACUCUGAAAGGUCAAAGGCAUACAGAGUGUAUAAUUCAGAAACACAAUGUGUUGAAGAAUCUAUGCAUGUAAAAUUUGAUGAUAGAGAGCCUGGAAGUAAAACUUCAGAGCAAAGUGAAAGUAAUGCAGGUACAACUGAUUCUGAAGAUGCAUCAGAAUCUGAUCAACCUUCUGAUUCUGAAAAGUAUACAGAAGUUGAAUCUAGUCCAGAAGCUGAAAUCACUCCAGAAGCUGAGUCUAAUUCAGAAGCAGAACCUAGCCCAAAAGUACAGAAUGAAAGUGCUUCUGAGGACUGUCAAGAUAACACUCAGCAGGUUAUUCAACCUAAAUUCAAGCACAAAUCUUCACAUCCUGAGGAGCUAAUGAUUGGAAGCAAAGAUAGUCCUAGAAGAACAAGAUCACAUUUUAGACAAGAAGAGUCAUUAAUAGGACUGCUUUCAAUAAUUGAGCCUAAAACUGUUGAAGAAGCUCUCUCAGAUGAUGGAUGGAUAUUAGCUAUGCAAGAAGAGCUAAAUCAAUUCCAAAGGAAUGAUGUGUGGGAUCUGGUACCCAAACCUUUUCAGAAGAACAUUAUUGGAACAAAAUGGGUAUUCAGAAACAAACUGAAUGAACAAGGAGAAGUAACCAGAAACAAAGCCAGACUUGUUGCUCAAGGCUACAGUCAACAAGAAGGCAUUGAUUACACUGAAACAUUUGCUCCAGUUGCAAGAUUGGAAGCAAUCAGGUUACUUCUAUCCUACGCAAUUAAUCAUGGCAUAAUAUUAUAUCAAAUGGAUGUCAAAAGUGCCUUUCUUAAUGGUGUCAUUGAAGAAGAAGUGUAUGUUAAACAACCUCCUGGGUUUGAGGAUCUUAAGCAUCCUGACCAUGUUUAUAAACUUAAGAAAUCACUAUAUGGCUUGAAACAAGCUCCCAGAGCUUGGUAUGAUAGACUAAGUAAUUUCUUAAUUAAAAAUGAUUUUGAAAGAGGACAAGUUGACACAACACUCUUCAGAAGGACUCUUAAGAAAGAUAUUUUGAUUGUGCAAAUAUAUGUUGAUGAUAUAAUAUUUGGUUCUACUAAUGCAUCUCUUUGCAAAGAAUUUUCUAAGUUAAUGCAGGAUGAAUUUGAAAUGAGUAUGAUGGGAGAACUGAAAUUCUUUCUUGGAAUUCAAAUCAACCAAAGUAAAGAAGGAGUAUAUGUUCAUCAAACAAAAUAUACAAAGGAGCUUCUGAAGAAGUUCAAGCUAGAAGAUUGUAAAGUGAUGAACACUCCAAUGCAUCCAACCUGCACCUUAAGCAAAGAAGAUACUGGAACAGUAGUAGACCAGAAGCUAUACAGAGGUAUGAUUGGUUCUCUGUUAUACCUCACUGCAUCUAGACCUGAUAUUUUAUUCAGUGUAUGCUUGUGUGCAAGAUUUCAAUCAGAUCCUAGAGAAUCUCAUUUAACUGCAGUUAAGAGAAUCUUCAGGUAUUUGAAAGGAACAACUAAUCUUGGACUCCUGUAUAGGAAAUCCCUAGAUUAUAAGUUGAUUGGAUUCUGUGAUGCUGAUUAUGCUGGUGAUAGGAUUGAAAGAAAAUCAACCAGUGGAAAUUGUCAAUUCCUGGGAGAGAAUCUGAUAUCUUGGGCAAGCAAAAGACAAGCAACUAUUGCUAUGUCUACAGCAGAAGCAGAAUACAUUUCAGCUGCAAGUUGUUGCACACAACUACUUUGGAUGAAACAUCAGUUGGAAGACUAUCAGAUUAAUGCUAACAGUAUUCCCAUUUACUGUGAUAAUACUGCUGCUAUUUGUUUGUCAAAGAAUCCAAUUCUACAUUCAAGAGCCAAGCAUAUUGAAAUCAAACACCAUUUUAUCAGAGACUAUGUUCAAAAAGGGAUUUUAGAUAUACAAUUCAUUGAUACUGAACAUCAAUGGGCUGAUAUAUUUACAAAACCUUUGUCUGUUGAAAGAUUUGAUUUUAUUAAGAAAAAUUUGAACAUGCAUUUUGUGUCUGAUUGAAAAAUUGCUUGCCUCUGAAUAAGAAGUUUGGUUCUGAAGUUUAUUCAGAAGCAUUUGGUUCAUCAGAAGCUCUUAACUGAGGUUCUGAGGAAAAUGUGCUUCUGAAGAUGACGUCAGCACUAAAACUUCAGAAGUGUUAUUCUUUGCUUCUGAAUAGCUUGGUUAGUGGGAACGUUGGUAGUUACUUUAUGUAACAGCUGUCCCAUUACCCAAAAGGUAGUUUUCUGAAGAGUCUCUGACGUGGUCUAUUUGUAUUGGAGUAUAACAAAAAAAGGGCAAUGAUGUUUUAUUCGCUUUUUAACAUACUUACACGCGCCCCCAAUUUGUCAUUAAUGCUGUGUUUGUUUGUCCCUUCUGAAUUGCAAACUGUCAUACCCCAAAUUUUGACCAAAGGUCCCACUGACACACGUCUUCGAACUCGAACCAGACUCACAUUUCAGUGAAAAAUUCGGCAGGGAGGUAUUUUAAAAUACCUCAUUUUGUUUCCGAGUCGGGCCCUCUUCUCUCAGUCUUUAAUUAUUUAUUUCCAUCUUUCAAAUUUUUAGUUUAGAAUUCUAAUUUUAAUUUUUAGUCCAAGAUUAGAUUAAAUUUCUUUUAGUCCCAUUUUAAAUUUUUCUUUUUUAUUUAAAACCAAAAAUGUAGAUAUUAUCCUUUUAUUAUUAAUUUUUUUCUUUUUUUAAUUAAGUCCCAAAAUUGUCCAAAGCCUCAAAAAUGUCCAAAACAGUCCAAGUUCACGCGCAUCAAACACAAACCGUCUUCCUUCAUUCAUCCUCAUCCAAUUUACACAGCCUGUCACACAGAGGCAGUCCCAAUCCAAUUCACGCGCAUCAGUCACAAGUUCAGGAACGGAAAUACCUUUUUCUUCUCCUCAAGCCACAGCUUUUAUGCUCGUAUUUAACAAACCCUGGCCUCAACCUCACUCUAUAAAUAGAGACCUGCACAACACAAAGAAAACACGAAAAAAAACACAGAGAGAGGCGCGCAACACAACAAACACACACGCACAGGAAGCCAUACCACAACACAGAGAGAGGCGCGCAACACAACAAACACACACGCACAGGAAGCAACACCACAACAACAGAUCAAGCACAACUCGACGUGCACACGGAACCAGACACAUACACUACAUCGCAAGCCAGCACCAUAAAUAGAGCCGGAUUCACAAGAGAAAAAGAGGUAGUACUUUCUUUUACCUUUAGAUCUAGGUCUCUGUGUGUACGUUUUCGAAAAUCUAGGUCUAGAACUGAAGAAAGAAAAGGGAGUAGGAGAAGAUAAGCGAAAAAAAAAUGCAAAAAAAAUUAAAUUAGGGUUCCGGCGUGGUGGCGCCGCCGCACUGGCCGGCCAACCACCGCCGGAACCACCAUCCCACCGUCGGAGAAGAAGAGGGAAGAGAGAGGACAGAGAGCUAGAGAGAGAAGGAGGCGGAAGAGAGAGAAGGAGGAAAAGAAAAAUGAGGAAAUUAGGGUUUACACCCUUUAUAUACCUCUCAAAUCCGGGUCGACCCGCCAGGCUUAACCCAUGACCCGCUCCGUCUCUAUCUAGGCCCAAACCUGUUUUUUACUUUCUGCACACCCCAUAAUACUGCUACACCUCCCACCUUGUGAUUGAACCUUUUAUUUAUUUCUUUCAAGUCUUGCAUACAUUUUAUUUAUCGUUUAGCAUUGUAAUUAUUAAUUUAUGUUCUCUCAUGCAUGUUAGAAUGUAAAUUAGGCCUUGAUGUAAAUAAUUUAUUUACUUUUUCUUGUCAUUUAUUUUUUUGCAGACCUUAGAAUGUAAAUAGGUUUUUUUGUAAUAGUUUAGGUGCAUGUGUGCGUGUGUGGGUGUAUGCUAUACUUUUCUGCUUAGGUUAUUACGUUUUAUUUUCUUGCUCCGUUAGUUUAGCAAUUAUUCAAAAAAUAACAAAAACAUGCAAAUAACCAAAAAAUCAUAAAAAUACUUUUUUAUAAUAAACCUUGAUCCUAAAUCAAGUGAUCGUCCUUUUUAUUUUAUUUUCUUAAUCAAAUAUCAAUCAAUUUAACUAUACUUUGAGUCUAUUUUCAUUUAAAUUAAAAAACACAAAUCCAUUCCUAUUUUGCCACUUGGCUUUUAUUUUUAAAACCUUUUUCAAAACUAAUAAAAAACACAAAACCAAUCAAACGUCAAUUUCUACCCCGAACUACGAGGUUUUGAUCCUUCACGGGUACGUAGGCAGAGGACCAUGUCCUUUCAAACAAUAAAAAAUGUAGAUAAAUUAGGUCUCACCUUAUUUUCUUUUUCAUCACAUUAAUUCCUUCUUUUCAAAAGCAAGCAAGUUAUAGCACAUUGAAUUAAAUAAAACCAAGAGGUUCCCGUAGAGUACUACGGACAUAAAGGGUGCUAACACCUUCCUUUUAUGUAACUAACCCCCGAACCCAAAAUCUUUUCAAAAUGGGGUAGUUUGAACUUUUUUCCCCUUUUCUUAAUAAAAUUAAAUGUUCAGUCGUGAAAUAAAUUAGCGAGUCAAAAGCUAAUCAAAUAGCCUUGAUCUCCAAAAAAUGACGCGACAGAAAUGGCGACUUCACUGGGGAUCCCCUAAGAGGGUUGAGCCUAACUUGGCUUUAUUUAAUUUUUUGUGCUAUAUCUUGCUUAAAACAAAAAUAAAAAUAAAGAUGGAAAUAAUUGUACAUAUCUUUUAUCUUCUCUUUUCUCUCUUUCUUCCCUUCUUCUUAAAUAUGAGUGGUGAGAUAAAGCCCUACACCCGGGCUUGAGAGAAACAUAAGAUAGGACGGUGGUAUAACCAAAGUGCCUUUCCGAGAGUCAAGUCUCGUGUUUAGGUUCAUGUGGUACAACCCCACUCAAUGGAGGGAUCUUGAAAGUAAUUUGUGUUGGCAUGAAUAGUCGUGUUGGCACUAUAUUUUCAAGUGACCGUCGAAGUUGAGGACCUUUAGUUACCCUUAACCCAUCUUAGCCUUUUAGGACGUAGUGCGGUGGCUAAUCAAGAGUAGUCUUGAAUUAGUUGAUACGCGAUACUACACUCAAAUGAAACUUUCCUACGGAUAUUAUUGGAUCAAGAGUAGUCUUGUAACCUGAUAACAUUCGGAGGUAGUUGAUGACUUUGGGAACUGGAUAGAACCCGUGAUACAGGUACAAAUAAAACCAUAGUCCUUACCAAAUGGGGGUUAUUACCUUUAAACUCCAACAUGGUGAGCUUAACCUAUGCAUAAUCAUGCAUACAUGCAUUCAUUCAUAAUUUCAUCUUUUUUUUCAUCAAAAAUAUCGAAGGACUUAUACUGUUUUUGCAAAUAUCAUAGGCAUGGAAAGAAGAAAUACUAGGAAGUUUACAUUCAGGAAAUUGGAUCUAGAGAACUUAAAGAAGCUUGCAUUUGAAGUAACUAGCUUGGAGAACUUUUGUGAUCGUCAUGGGAAGUUGCUUGGUGUCCUCUGGACAAAUAUCGAUAAGGGGUGCUUGGAGACCUUGGUCCAGUUCUAUGACCCUGCUUACCACUGUUUCACCUUUCCCGACUACCAGCUUAUGCCUACCCUCGAAGAAUACUCCCACUUAAUUGGCCUACCCGUACUUGAUAAGGUACCUUUUACUGGCUUAGAACCCUUUCCCAAAGCUGCCACUAUUGCAAACGCCCUCCACCUCAAAACCUCUCUCAUAAAAGAAAAACUCACCCUAAAGGGGAAUCUCCCAAGCUUACCUACUAAAUUUCUUUACCAACAAGCCUCCGAUUUUUCCAAAACAAACAAUGUUGAGGCCUUCUACUCUAUCCUAGCUUUGCUCAUCUAUGGCCUAGUAUUGUUCCCAAAUAUUGAUAACUAUGUUGACAUCCAUGCCAUUCAAAUUUUCCUCACAAAGAACCCAGUCCCCACAUUGUUAGCUGAUAUAUAUCAUUCCAUUCACGAUCGAACCCAAGUAGGUCGUGGAGCUAUCCUUGGUUGCGCACCUUUACUAUACAAAUGGUUUGCCUCCCACUUACCUCAGACUCAUUCCUUUCAAGCCAACCCAGAAAAUCUCUCCUGGCCCAAAAGAAUCAUGUCCCUUACCCCAUCCGACAUAACCUGGUACCGUGCCGCUUGUAACUUCACGAACAUCAUUGUCAGUUGUGGAGAAUACUCAAAUGUACCCCUUCUCGGUACGCAAGGAGGAAUCAGCUACAAUCCUAUCCUUGCCAAACGUCAGUUCGGAUGUCCAAUGGAAGCUAAGCCAGAUAAUAUCUACUUACAGGGUGAAUUCUACUUCAACCAUGAAGAUCCUUCAAACAAAAGAGGGAGAUUUGUCCAAGCAUGGUAUGCCAUUCGCACACUCAAUAGAAGCCAAUUGGCGAGGAGAUCAGACUCUUUACAGGGGUCUUACACUCAAUGGGUCAUCAAUAGAGCUUCCGAUCUGGUCUUACCAUAUCAUUUGCCGAGGUACCUAUCUUCAACAACCCCAGCGCCGGCUUUACCCUUGGCCCCCGCAACUGUGGAGGAAUGUCAAGAGAAGUUGGCCCGAUCAGAAUAUGUGGGUGCUACUUGGAAAAGGAGGUAUGAUGAAGCUAUGCUCAAGAUGGAAACUAUGAGUGGUGAGAUAGAGCAACGAGGGCAUGAGGUUCACAAGUUGAGACGACAAAUAGUAAAAAAGAAUGUUCAGAUCCGAGCUCAGAGCACAAGGCUAUCACAAUUUAUCAGCGCAGGGGAGCGUUGGGAGUUCUUCAAGGAUGCACAUUCAGAUUCUGAUGAAUAGUCUACUUCAAAGAGCUCGAGAGUUCCCAGUUUUUCUUUUAUUUUUGUUCUUAGCUUUAAGUUAGAUAUUUAUCUUAUUUUAUUUUUGCAAAGUCUAUCCCUUGGCUUCGUUGUUUAGAAAGGGAAUUAUCUCGUAGUAUGUAAAUUAUCCAAUGGAACUCUCAACUAUGAUAUUUACAAAAAUACUUUCCAUAAGUCCUUCGAUAAAAAAUACGUCUAUAUUUUUGCAUAAACAUCAUGCAUCAUCCUGCAUUUCAUAGUCUCAAGUCAAAGUCUCACACAAACUUUCUUUUCCAGAGAGAAAAAGGUCAACUCGUUUCAAAAGGUGGCCCCACGUGUCAUCUACAAGUCAACCCGUACUCACUACACUCGAGCAAACGUAAAGAAGAAGAUGGAUUAUCUUGAGCAAGAAAAUCGGGUACUUCGUGAAGAAAUGACAGCCAUGCAGACUAAGAUGGACGAGAUGGCUGAAUUAAUAAAAACAAUGGCGGAAGCUCAGACUCAAGCUCAAGUACAGAUUCAGGCACAAGCGCAAGCAUUGGCACAAGCGCAAACUCAAGCUCAGGCCCUAACAGAGGCGCAGGCCCGAUCACAAGCACCUCCACUUCCUCCUCCUGUCAGAACUCAGGCCGAGGCAUCUUCUUCUUGGACACUAUGUGCUGACACUCCAACGCAGUCCGCUCCGCAACGUUCCACGCCUUGGUUUCCACCUUUCACUGCUGGGGAGAUAUUUCGUCCUAUCACUUGUGAAGCUCAGAUGCCCACUCACCAGUACACGGCUCAAGUACCCCUACCUGCCAUGAGGGUCACUCCAGCCACCAUGACCUACUCAGCACCUGUGAUACAUACAAUUCCGCAAACUGAAGAGCCUAUCUUUCAUUCAGGGAAUGCAGAGGCUUACGAGGGAGUAAGCGACCUACGAGAAAAGUAUGAUGAACUACGCCGAGACAUGAAAGCUCUCCAUGAAAAAGGGAAAUUUGGGAAGACUGCGUACGAUCUCUGUUUGGUACCAAGUGUGCAGGUGCCUCACAAAUUCAAGAUCCCAGAUUUCGAGAAAUACAAAGGGAGUUCUUGCCCUGAGGAACAUCUAAAAAUGUAUGUGAGAAGGAUGCCUGCGUAUGCCCAAGAUGAUCAGAUUCUUAUCUACUACUUCCAAGAAAGCUUGACUGGCCCUGCUUCAAAGUGGUACACAAACCUAGAAAAAACAAGGGUUCAAACUUUCCGUGACCUUUGUGAAGCUUUUGUGGAACAGUACAGUUACAAUGUAGACAUGACUCCGGACCGAAGUGAUCUCCAAGCCAUGACUCAGGGAGAUAAAGAGACGUUCAAAGAGUACGCCCAACGGUGGAGAGACACCGCUGCCCAAGUCAGCCCACGCAUUGAGGAGAAAGAGAUGACCAAGCUCUUCCUAAAAACUCUGAAUCAUUUUUAUUACAAAAAGAUGGUCGGGAGUACACCAAAGAGCUUCGCGGAGAUGGUUGGUAUGGGAGUACAGUUAGAAGAAGGAGUCCGAGAAGGACGCUUAGUAAAGAAUGCAACUCCUGCCAGUGGGACCAAGAAGACCGGGAACCAUUUCCCGAGGAAGAAAGAGCAAGAAGUCGGUAUGGUGACUCAUGGAAGGCCUCAACAAACUUAUCCAGCCUAUCAACACAUUGCUGCCAUCACACCCACCUCUCACCCUUUUCAACAAACAAAUAACCAUCCUCACUUACCGCAAUAUCCUCAGAUACCACAAUAUCCUCAAAUACCACAAUAUCCUCAAUUCCCACAAAAUCCUUCACCACAAAAUACACAACAACCAUACCAACAACAACCAUACCAACAAUACCCAUACCAACAAUACCCUCAACAAAAUUUCCAACAACAACCUUAUCAACAACGCCCACAACAACCUCGACCACCAAGAAUGCCGAUUAACCCAAUACCAGUCACCUAUGCAGAAUUACUUCCCGGCUUACUCAAGAAAAACCUUGUCCAAACUAGAACAGCUCCUCCGAUCCCAGAAAAACUACCAUCUUGGUAUAGACUUGACCAAACUUGUGACUUCCAUGAAGGGGGCCGUGGCCAUAACAUUGAAACUUGUUAUGCCUUUAAAAGCACAGUGCAGAGGUUGAUCAAUGAUGGAAAAAUAACUUUCACAGACUCGGCGCCAAAUACUCAAACAAACCCAUUGCCGAAUCAUGGUGCCGCAACAGUCAACAUGAUCGAAGAUUGUCAAAAGACUCGUCCCAUUCUGAAUGUUCAACAUAUCAGGACACCCUUGGUCCCGUUACAUGCCAAGUUAUGCAAAGUCAACCUUUUUGAGCAUAAUCAUGAUCUCUGUGAAAUAUGCCUUAUGAACUCCGGAGGAUGUCAGAAAGUAAGAAAUGAUAUUCAAGGGCUUCUAGACCGAGGAGAGCUUGUGGUCGAAAGGAAGUGUGAUGAUGUGUGUGUAAUAACUCCCGAAGGGCCUUUGGAGGUAUUUUAUGACAGUCGAAAGUCAACUAUCACCCCUCUGGUGAUCUGCUUACCGGGUCCACUACCAUAUGCUUCUGAAAAAGCCAUUCCAUACAAAUACAAUGCCACCAUGAUUGAAGAGGGUCAUGAGGUUCCAAUACCGCCUUUGUCUAGUGUGGAUAAUAUUGUUGAAGACAGUAGAGUUCUGAGAAAUGGGCGCGUUGUUCCCAUAGUGUUCCCAAAGAAGAUUGGUGCUACAGUAAACAAGGAGGUUCGGACUAAAGAUGCUGGUAUCGCCAAAGAAGUGGAUCAACCCAAAGAGGCUGGUACAAGUGCAGAGUUUGAUGAGAUUCUCAAGUUAAUAAAGAAGAGCGAGUACAGGGUUGUUGACCAACUGAUGCAGACCCCAUCCAAAAUAUCCAUAAUGUCUUUAUUACUAAAUUCUGAGGCCUAUAAAGAUGCAUUAAUGAAGGUCUUAGAACAAGCUUUUGUGGAUUAUGAUGUAACGGUGGGUCAGUUUGGCGGAAUAGUAGGGAACAUCACUGCAUGCAACAACUUGAGUUUCAGUGAUGAAGAGCUCCCAGCAGAAGGAAGGAACCAUAAUCGGGCGCUGCAUAUAUCUGUAAACUGUAAAACCGAUGCUUUGUCAAAUGUGCUGGUGGAUACUGGAUCAUCUUUGAAUGUGUUGUCCAAAACAACUUAUGCCCAACUCGCUUACCAAGGCGCACCUUUGAGACGAAGUGGGGUAAUGGUGAAAGCUUUUGAUGGCUCGAGGAAGGAUGUCCUUGGAGAGGUGGUUCUACCUAUCACAGUUGGGCCACAAGUUUUCCAAGUUAAUUUUCAAGUCAUGGACAUUCAAGCUUCGUAUAGUUGCCUACUGGGUCGACCCUGGAUUCACGAGGCAGGGGCUGUCACAUCCACGCUGCAUCAAAAGCUGAAGUUUGUGAAGAAUGGGAAGCUAGUAACUGUAAACGGUGAAGAGGCUUUAUUGGUGAGUCAUCUGUCAUCUUUCUCUUUCAUUGGGGCAGACGAUGUCGAAGGGACACCUUUUCAAGGGUUUACUAUAGAAGAUAAGAAUACCAAGAGGAAUGAAGCCUCUAUCUCGUCUCUAAGAGAUGCUCAGAAGGUCAUACAAGCAGGGGGGUCCACAAGCUGGGGAAAGCUGAUAGAGCUUCCAGAAAACAAGCACCGAGAAGGUUUGGGUUUCUUCCCAUCUACUAGUUUGUCCACAGCAAAGAAAGGCACUUUCCACAGUUCGGGCUUUAUCCAUGCAAUUAUUGAAGAUGAUCCUGAAAGUGUGCCACGAGGUUUUAUAACACCAGGAGUAUCCAGCCACAAUUGGGUUGCUGUAGAUGUUCCUUUUAUUGCUCACUUGUCCAAGUAAUGCAUUUGUCUAGUUUAUGCUUUUCUUUUCAAAAAAACAUCCUUUCGCCCCGCCCCAAGCGAAAGUGAACUUAUCUAGGGCUUUUUAUUUCAAGAAACUAUCGUCAAUAAAAUAAAAAUGUCGUUUUUUUUUUCCCGAUGUUUUGUCUCAUUUUCUUUUAUGCUUUUCUGAAAAGUGGUAAUACAAAAAACCCAACAUAAAUUUUCAAAAAAUCUGCAUGUAUCUUUUUUUUUCCUAAAUAUCAUCCAUCACAUGUGCAGAUUAGAAAUCAACGAACCCGUUGAACAACAUAACCCUAUGAUCUCUCCCAACUUUGAGUUCCCUGUGUAUGAGGCGGAGGAAGAAGAGAAUGAAGAGAUCCCUGACGAAAUCUCUCGACUACUCGAACAAGAGAGGAAGACCAUUCAGCCUUAUGGGGACGAGCUAGAAGUGAUUAACUUGGGCACCAAAGAAGACAAGAAAGAAAUCAAGGUUGGGGCAUCGCUCGAAACAAGUGUUAAAAAGCAAGUGAUAGAGCUCCUCAAAGAAUAUGUUGAUGUGUUUGCCUGGUCCUACCAAGAUAUGCCGGGUCUAGACACUAAUAUUGUGGUGCAUCACCUACCUUUGAAACCUGAGUGUCCGCCAGUUAAACAAAAGUUGAGAAGAACACGUCCUGACAUGGCUCUCAAAAUCAAAGAAGAGGUACAGAAACAGAUCGACGCUGGUUUCCUCAUCACAUCAAAUUACCCCCAAUGGUUAGCUAACAUAGUGCCUGUUCCAAAGAAAGAUGGUAAGGUCAGAAUGUGUGUUGACUACCGUGAUUUAAACAAAGCUAGCCCGAAAGACGACUUUCCUUUACCUCAUAUUGACGUGUUGGUUGACAGUACUGCAAAGUCUAAAGUCUUCUCAUUCAUGGAUGGAUUCUCCGGUUAUAAUCAAAUCAAGAUGGCACCCGAAGAUAGAGAGAAAACAUCAUUUAUUACACCUUGGGGCACUUUUUGUUACAAAGUAAUGCCGUUCGGUUUAAUCAAUGCAGGAGCUACUUAUCAGAGGGGUAUGACUACUCUUUUCCACGAUAUGAUACAUAAAGAGAUUGAGGUCUAUGUGGAUGAUAUGAUAGUCAAGUCGAUUACUGAAGAAGACCAUGUCAAGUAUCUACAGAAGAUGUUCCAGCGCCUGAGGAGGUACAAACUUCGUCUAAAUCCCAACAAAUGCACUUUUGGUGUUAGAUCCGGAAAGCUUCUAGGCUUCAUCGUCAGCCAGAAAGGCAUCGAAGUAGAUCCUGACAAAGUCAAAGCCAUCAGAGAGAUGCCUGCUCCGAGAACAGAAAAAGAAGUGAGGGGUUUUCUUGGACGACUAAAUUACAUCUCCCGGUUCAUUUCUCAUAUGACUGCAACUUGUGGGCCGAUAUUCAAACUACUCCGCAAAGAACAAGGUAUUGUGUGGACCGAAGAUUGCCAGAAGGCUUUUGACAGCAUAAAAAAGUACUUGCUAGAACCACCGAUUCUCAUCCCUCCAGUUGAAGGAAGACCUUUGAUCAUGUACCUAACAGUGCUAGAAAAUUCCAUGGGUUGUGUGCUCGGACAACAAGAUGAAACCGGAAGAAAAGAGCACGCCAUUUAUUAUUUAAGCAAAAAGUUUACUGAAUGUGAAUCUCGCUACUCCAUGCUCGAGAAGACAUGUUGUGCUCUAGCCUGGGCUGCCAAACGCCUCCGUCAUUAUAUGAUUAAUCACACUACUUGGCUGGUAUCUAAAAUGGAUCCAAUCAAGUACAUAUUUGAGAAGCCCGCUUUGACAGGAAGGAUUGCACGGUGGCAGAUGCUACUAUCUGAAUAUGAUAUCGAGUACCGUUCCCUGAAGGCAAUUAAAGGCAGUAUUCUUGCUGAUCACUUAGCUCACCAACCACUUGAAGACUAUCGGCCUAUCAAGUUUGACUUUCCUGAUGAAGAGAUUAUGUAUCUAAAGAUGAAAGAUUGCGACGAGCCACUAUUCGGAGAAGGUCCUGAUCCAGAUUCAGUGUGGGGUUUGAUAUUUGAUGGGGCUGUCAAUGUAUACGGCAACGGCAUAGGGGCAGUACUCCUUACUCCUAAGGGUGCUCACAUCCCUUUCACAGCAAGACUCCGGUUUGACUGCACGAACAACAUCGCUGAAUAUGAAGCCUGCAUCAUGGGUAUUGAAGAAGCCAUUGAUCUAAGAAUCAAGAACAUCGAAAUAUAUGGAGAUUUAGCUCUUGUAAUCAACCAGAUCAAAGGAAAAUGGGAAACUCUUCACGCAGGACUGAUACCUUAUCGAGACUAUGCAAGACGUUUAUUGACUUUCUUCAACAAAGUGGAAUUACAUCAUAUCCCUCGGGAUGAGAAUCAGAUGGCUGAUGCCUUGGCUACUUUGUCUUCAAUGAUCAAGGUGAAUCAUCACAAUGACGUGCCACUAAUCAGUGUCAAAUUCCUUGAUAGACCCGCUUAUGUGUUUGCCGCUGAAGCAGUUUUCGACGAUAAACCUUGGUUUCAUGAUAUUAAGGUGUUUCUCCAAACUCGAGAGUAUCCUCCUGGAGCAUCCAACAAAGAUAAAAAGACUCUCAGAAGAUUAUCUAGUAAUUUCUUCCUGAAUGGGGAUAUCUUGUACAAAAGAAACUUUGACACAGUCUUGCUCAGAUGUGUAGACAAAUAUGAAGCUGAUUUAUUGAUACAUGAAAUACACGAAGGAUCCUUCGGAAUUCAUCCUAAUGGGCACACAAUGGCUAAAAAGAUAUUGCGAGCAGGCUACUACUGGAUGACAAUGGAAUCAGAUUGCUACAAGCAUACCAGAAAGUGUCACAAGUGUCAGAUAUACGCCGACAAGAUUCAUGUGCCGCCAACUACACUCAAUUUACUUUCCUCUCCGUGGCCUUUCUCUAUGUGGGGCAUCGACAUGAUCGGAAGGAUUGAACCCAAAGCUUCAAAUGGACACCGUUUCAUCCUAGUGGCUAUUGACUACUUCACUAAGUGGGUUGAGGCCGCAUCGUAUGCUAAUGUGACCAAGCAAGUGGUGGUCAAAUUUAUCAAGAAUCAUAUCAUUUGUCGUUAUGGCAUCCCCAACCGGAUCAUCACCGACAACGGAACAAAUCUAAACAACAAGAUGAUGAAAGAAUUGUGUGAUGAUUUCAAGAUCGAGCACCAUAACUAUUCACCUUACAGACCUCAAAUGAAUGGUGUCGUCGAAGCUGCAAAUAAGAAUAUAAAGAGGAUUGUCCAGAAGAUGGUGGUAACUUAUAAAGAUUGGCAUGAAAUGCUUCCCUUUGCAUUACAUGGAUAUCGUACUUCUGUACGCACAUCAACAGGUGCAACUCCUUUCUCCCUGGUAUAUGGCAUGGAGGCAGUACUUCCUGUAGAAGUCGAAAUUCCAUCAUUGAGAGUCCUAAUGGAGGCUGACUUAUCGGAAGCUGAAUGGGUUCAGAAUAGAUACGACCAGUUGAAUCUAAUUGAAGAAAAGCGCAUGACAGCCCUAUGUCACGGACAAUUAUAUCAAAAAAGGAUGAAACAGGCCUUUGACAAGAAAGUUCGCCCCCGUAAGUUUAAAGAAGGUGAUCUUGUGCUCAAAAAGAUUUUCUCUUUCCAACCAGACUCCCGAGGCAAGUGGGCUCCUAAUUAUGAAGGUCCGUAUGUUGUUAAAAAAGCCUUCUCAGGUGGUGCCAUGACUCUACAAACCAUGGACGGUGAAGAACUACCACGACCUGUGAACACGGAUGCAGUCAAGAAAUACUUUGUCUAAAAAUCUUAAAGAACAGCUCGGUAAGUCGAAAACCCGAAAAGGGCGGCUUAGGCAAAAAUGAGCAUCUCGGUGGACUGAAAACCCGAAAGGGCGGUCCAGGCAAAAAUUAGAGACAAUAAACAGAGAUCAUCAUCCUGAUAGAGUGAAAACCCGAAAGGGCAGUCUAUGCAAAAGUUAAGGAUUAAAAGAAAAAGACAAAGUAACUGCAUCCAGUCAAGCACAGAUACACUUGGGGCAUACCUGCUAUCAAAAGUAUUCGAGCCGCAAGAUAACGGAUUUCAAAGUUGUUAGAGAAGGAUAGGGUUAUGAAGUUCAACGUACCUUUCCCUUUUAAAUUACCAUUUCUUUUCAAACUUUGUAAAGAACUCCAUGAAGUCAUGCCAUUGGCAUAGCGUCAUUCGAUCAAUAAACUUUGAGCCUUUAUCUCUCUUUUGAUUCCUAUUUGUUUUGUUUCGCGAAUUUUUUUCCUCUUUUAUUGAUGAUAAUAUUUUGAAACAGAUUUCUAAAACAUUAUAAAAAGCAUAAACAAAUAGAUACAGCUUGGCACUCGGGAGUAAGAAAGGCAUAUACCAACUCAAGAGAGGUUAGAUCCUGCUAAAAGCGUGGCUCGACACUAAGGAAAGUCUCUGAAUAAACAAAUACAAAAAUAAGCAUCCCGGGGGACUAAGAGCCCGAAAAGGUAGUCCAAAUAAGGGUUAAGGACUUCUUCCAAAAGAGGCAUGACUGCCAAGGCAUAUCAAUGGAGCGACACUCUGUGCCGGCUUGCAAAUAGCGACUUCUUCUUCGAAAUUUGUUCACAAAAUUGUUGCGAAGAGUGUAGUACAAAAGUGCCAAUCCAUUUCCCACCUUACAUACCAUAUUCUGCCUCAUCGAGUUCCGUCUAUCACCUACAAAAGACAUGGUCGUCAAAAUCACGUUCAUACAUACACGCAUGCAUUCAUCACAUCAACGCUUCCAUGCACUCAUACAACCACAAACUCGUAACAAUCAUGCAUUUACUGAUAAUCAUGCAUUCGUGCGUACACAACAUACGCACGACAUUAAUUCAUACAUAAACUCAUCAAUCGAUUCGGCCAUAUCACUUCGGUUCAGUCUUAGUUUACCAUUGCGUCAAGCCGCAAGUUUCUACGAGUAAGACAUCUUCCAUUUCAAUUUCAAAUUUCAAAGGUGUCAUGCCCGGCAAAAACCGUGCUAAGUCAUGUCACUAAUCAAUGUCAAUUUCAACUUUAGUUUCGAAGUGUCAUCCCCGGCGGAAAGCCGUACUAGUCAUGGCGCUAGUUAAUCUUGAUGUCAACUUCAACUUUAAGUAUCAUCCCCAGCAUAGCUGUUCCAGAGAUGUCACCAAUCCAACUUUUCAAGUGACCAGUUCCAACGAACGAACAACUCAUGUCAAUCUUUUAUCUUUAUGCCCAGCGACCGAUUCCAACAAACGAAUAGCCUAUGUCAGUUUUUUUUCCUUUCGAGCAACCAGUUCCAACGAACGAACAACUCAUGUCAAUCUUUUAUCUUUAUGCCCAGCGACCGAUUCCAACAAACGAUUAGCUUAUGUCUACUUUCUUUCGAGUAACCAGUUCUAACCAACGAACAACUCACGUCGAUCUUUUAUCUUUAUGCCCAGCGACCAGUUCCAACCAACGAACAGCCUGCAACAAGUGGCCAAUUUCAACCAACAAAUAACUUGUAUCCUUCUAUUAUUUCAUUUUUAAAACCAAGUCCACAAAUGGACAUUGGAGUCUGAACCAUUGCACUUUGUUUCGAGACAUCGAGACGAUGAGGAACAACCAUUUUCCCCAGUGAAACCAGAUUCCCCAGUAAAGUCGGAUCCCUUUCUUCGAAGAAUUUGGGUAUCCCAGUGUCUUUCAUUCCAGUCGAGCCGUCAUUGUCAUCAUACAUUCAUAAUUAAAUCAUGAGCAUUCAUAAACAUCCUAGGUCAAAAUUGGUGCACUUUUGUAUUUAAGUCUUUCGGCUCGUCGAGUCAAAGAUUUUACCUUCGAAUCUCUGAGCGAAAAAACUUAAAUAGGGGCAUCUGUCAUACCCCAAAUUUUGACCAAAGGUCCCACUGACACACGUCUUCGAACUCGAACCAGACUCACAUUUCAGUGAAAAAUUCGGCAGGGAGGUAUUUUAAAAUACCUCAUUUUGUUUCCGAGUCGGGCCCUCUUCUCUCAGUCUUUAAUUAUUUAUUUCCAUCUUUCAAAUUUUUAGUUUAGAAUUCUAAUUUUAAUUUUUAGUCCAAGAUUAGAUUAAAUUUCUUUUAGUCCCAUUUUAAAUUUUUCUUUUUUAUUUAAAACCAAAAAUGUAGAUAUUAUCCUUUUAUUAUUAAUUUUUUUCUUUUUUUAAUUAAGUCCCAAAAUUGUCCAAAGCCUCAAAAAUGUCCAAAACAGUCCAAGUUCACGCGCAUCAAACACAAACCGUCUUCCUUCAUUCAUCCUCAUCCAAUUUACACAGCCUGUCACACAGAGGCAGUCCCAAUCCAAUUCACGCGCAUCAGUCACAAGUUCAGGAACGGAAAUACCUUUUUCUUCUCCUCAAGCCACAGCUUUUAUGCUCGUAUUUAACAAACCCUAGCCUCAACCUCACUCUAUAAAUAGAGACCUGCACAACACAAAGAAAACACGAAAAAAAACACAGAGAGAGGCGCGCAACACAACAAACACACACGCACAGGAAGCCAUACCACAACACAGAGAGAGGCGCGCAACACAACAAACACACACGCACAGGAAGCAACACCACAACAACAGAUCAAGCACAACUCGACGUGCACACGGAACCAGACACAUACACUACAUCGCAAGCCAGCACCAUAAAUAGAGCCGGAUUCACAAGAGAAAAAGAGGUAGUACUUUCUUUUACCUUUAGAUCUAGGUCUCUGUGUGUACGUUUUCGAAAAUCUAGGUCUAGAACUGAAGAAAGAAAAGGGAGUAGGAGAAGAUAAGCGAAAAAAAAAUGCAAAAAAAAUUAAAUUAGGGUUCCGGCGUGGUGGCGCCGCCGCACUGGCCGGCCAACCACCGCCGGAACCACCAUCCCACCGUCGGAGAAGAAGAGGGAAGAGAGAGGACAGAGAGCUAGAGAGAGAAGGAGGCGGAAGAGAGAGAAGGAGGAAAAGAAAAAUGAGGAAAUUAGGGUUUACACCCUUUAUAUACCUCUCAAAUCCGGGUCGACCCGCCAGGCUUAACCCAUGACCCGCUCCGUCUCUAUCUAGGCCCAAACCUGUUUUUUACUUUCUGCACACCCCAUAAUACUGCUACACCUCCCACCUUGUGAUUGAACCUUUUAUUUAUUUCUUUCAAGUCUUGCAUACAUUUUAUUUAUCGUUUAGCAUUGUAAUUAUUAAUUUAUGUUCUCUCAUGCAUGUUAGAAUGUAAAUUAGGCCUUGAUGUAAAUAAUUUAUUUACUUUUUCUUGUCAUUUAUUUUUUUGCAGACCUUAGAAUGUAAAUAGGUUUUUUUGUAAUAGUUUAGGUGCAUGUGUGCGUGUGUGGGUGUAUGCUCUACUUUUCUGCUUAGGUUAUUACGUUUUAUUUUCUUGCUCCGUUAGUUUAGCAAUUAUUCAAAAAAUAACAAAAACAUGCAAAUAACCAAAAAAUCAUAAAAAUACUUUUUUAUAAUAAACCUUGAUCCUAAAUCAAGUGAUCGUCCUUUUUAUUUUAUUUUCUUAAUCAAAUAUCAAUCAAUUUAACUAUACUUUGAGUCUAUUUUCA